rnacentral:rRNA from 1 species
CCCUUAGAUGUUCGGGGCCGCACGCGCGCUACACUGAAUGAAUCAGCGAGUGUAUGUCCUAGGCCGAAAGGUCCGGGUAACCCGUUGAACCUCAUUCGUGAUUGGGAUAGGGACUUGCAAUUGUUUCCCUUGAACGAGGAAUUCCCAGUAAGCGCAAGUCAUCAGCUUGCGUUGAUUACGUCCCUGCCCUUUGUACACACCGCCCGUCGCUCCUACCGAUUGAGUGGUCCGGUGAGGCUUUGGGAUCUGAGCGGAAAGAGCGUUUCGCUGUUUCUGCUCGGAAAACUCAGUCGAACCUUAUCAUUUAGAGGAAGGAGAAGUCGUAACA